rnacentral:rRNA from 1 species
ACACAUGCAAGUCGAACGGAAGUUAGAGCUUCGGUUUUAACUUUAGUGGCGAACGGGUGAGUAACGCGUGAGGAACCUGCCUUUCAGUGGGGGACAACAGUUGGAAACGACUGCUAAUACCGCAUGAUGCUUUUGGGAGACAUCUCCUGGAAGCCAAAGCUUUAUGUGCUGAAAGAUGGCCUCGCGUCUGAUUAGCUAGUUGGUGAGGUAACGGCUCACCAAGGCGACGAUCAGUAGCCGGUCUGAGAGGAUGAACGGCCACAUUGGGACUGAGAUACGGCCCAGACUCCUACGGGAGGCAGCAGUGGGGAAUAUUGGGCAAUGGGGGAAACCCUGACCCAGCAACGCCGCGUGAAGGAAGAAGGCCUUCGGGUUGUAAACUUCUUUUACCAGGGACGAAGGACGUGACGGUACCUGGAGAAAAAGCAACGGCUAACUACGUGCCAGCAGCCGCGGUAAUACGUAGGUUGCAAGCGUUGUCCGGAUUUACUGGGUGUAAAGGGCGUGUAGGCGGAGAUGCAAGUUGGGAGUGAAAUCCAUGGGCUCAACCCAUGAACUGCUCUCAAAACUGUAUCCCUUGAGUAUCGGAGAGGCAAGCGGAAUUCCUAGUGUAGCGGUGAAAUGCGUAGAUAUUAGGAGGAACACCAGUGGCGAAGGCGGCUUGCUGGACGACAACUGACGCUGAGGCGCGAAAGCGUGGGGAGCAAACAGGAUUAGAUACCCUGGUAGUCCACGCUGUAAACGAUGAAUACUAGGUGUGGGAGGACUGACCCC